rnacentral:tRNA from 1 species
GUGUACAUAGCUCAGUUGGUAGGGUGCUUGCCUAGCAAGCAUGAAGGCCCAAGUUUGAUUCAAGCACUGUAUG